UACGGAGGUGGCAAGCGUUGCUCGGAAUCACUGGGCGUAAAGGGCGCGUAGGCGGGGAGGUAAGUCGGGUGUGAAAUCCCUCGGCCCAACCGAGGAACUGCGCCCGAGACUGCUUCUCUUGAGUCCCGGAGAGGAAGAUGGAAUUCCCGGUGUAGCGGUGAAAUGCGCAGAUAUCAGGAGGAACACCAAUGGCGAAGGCAGCUCGCUGGGACGGUACUGACGCUGAGGUGCGAAAGCGUGGGGAGCAAACAGG
rnacentral:rRNA from 1 species